rnacentral:rRNA from 1 species
UGCGUAGGCGGAACUGCAAGUGUUUGGUGAAAUCCCCGGCUUAACCGGGGAAUGGCUUAGCAAACUGCAGUUCUUGAGGCAAGUAGGGGUGUGUGGAACUCUUGGUGGAGCGGUGGAAUGCGUAGAUAUCAAGAGGAACGCCGAAGGUGAAGACAGCACACUGGACUUGUACUGACGCUGAGGCACGAAAGCGUGGGGAGCAAACA